rnacentral:rRNA from 1 species
UACGAAGGGGGCGAGCGUUGUUCGGAUUUACUGGGCGUAAAGGGCGCGCAGGCGGCUCAUUUUGUCAGGCGUGAAAGCCCCGGGCUUAACCUGGGAACUGCGUUUGAUACGGAUGGGCUAGAGUUCGGGAGAGGAGAGUGGAAUUCCCAGUGUAGAGGUGAAAUUCGAUAGAUAUUGGGAAGAACACCGGUGGCGAAGGCGGCUCUCUGGACCGAGACUGACGCUGAGGAGCGAAAGCGUGGG